AUUGAACGCUGACGGCAUGCCUUACACAUGCAAGUCGAACGGCAGCACGGGAGCAAUCCUGGUGGCGAGUGGCGAACGGGUGAGUAAAGCAUCGGAACGUGCCCAGGCGUGGGGGAUAACGUAGCGAAAGCUACGCUAAUACCGCAUACGAUCUGUGGAUGAAAGCGGGGGACCGUAAGGCCUCGCGCGGUUGGAGCGGCCGAUGUCAGAUUAGGUAGUUGGGGAGGUAAAGGCUCACCAAGCCGACGAUCUGUAGCUGGUCUGAGAGGACGACCAGCCACACUGGGACUGAGACACGGCCCAGACUCCUACGGGAGGCAGCAGUGGGGAAUUUUGGACAAUGGGCGCAAGCCUGAUCCAGCAAUGCCGCGUGCAGGGUGAAGGCCUUCGGGUUGUAAACUGCUUUUGUACGGAGCGAAACGGCUUCCACUAAUACUGGGGGCUAAUGACGGUACCGUAAGAAUAAGCACCGGCUAACUACGUGCCAGCCGCCGCCGUAACAC
rnacentral:rRNA from 1 species